AGUGAACGCUGGCGGUAGGCCUAACACAUGCAAGUCGAACGGCAGCACAGUAAGAGCUUGCUCUUACGGGUGGCGAGUGGCGGACGGGUGAGGAAUACAUCGGAAUCUACUUUUUCGUGGGGGAUAACGUAGGGAAACUUACGCUAAUACCGCAUACGACCUACGGGUGAAAGCAGGGGAUCUUCGGACCUUGCGCGAUUGAAUGAGCCGAUGUCGGAUUAGCUAGUUGGCGGGGUAAAGGCCCACCAAGGCGACGAUCCGUAGCUGGUCUGAGAGGAUGAUCAGCCACACUGGCACUGAGACACGGUCCAGACUCCUACGGGAGGCAGCAGUGGGGAAUAUUGGACAAUGGGCGCAAGCCUGAUCAAGCCAUACCGCGUGGGUGAAGAAGGCCUUCGGGUUGUAAAGCCCUUUUGUUGGGAAAGAAAAGCAGCAGGUUAAUACCCCGCUGUUCUGACGGUACCCAAAGAAUAAGCACCGGCUAACUUCGUG
rnacentral:rRNA from 1 species